AAGUCGUAACAAGGUUUCCGUAGGUGAACCUGCGGAAGGAUCAUUAUUGAACUAAGUCGGAUUCGAUGCUGGCCCUUAACCCGGGCAUGUGCUCGUCCUUCAUUUUUCUAACCUUCUUUAUGUGCACAUUUGUAUGCCCCUGAGUAACGAGCGCCUCUCGCAGCAAUGCGGUUUGCUUGGGACUGACGGCCUGGUCGUCUUUCCUGCAAUGCUCUCUGGGGGCUACGUUUUUAUAUACAAGUCAGUUAUAGAAUGUCUUUUAAUGACUGUUGCCUAGCGCAUGGUCUUAAACAAUUACAACUUUCAGCAACGGAUCUCUUGGCUCUCCCAUCGAUGAAGAACGCAGCGAAAUGCGAUAAGUAAUGUGAAUUGCAGAAUUCAGUGAAUCAUCGAAUCUUUGAACGCACCUUGCGCCCUUUGGUAUUCCGAAGGGCAUGCCUGUUUGAGUGUCAUUAAAUUAUCAACCUUGCUCGCUUUUACCGGCUUGAGCUGAGGCUUGGACGUGGGGGGUUUUUGCUGGCUUCCUUCAGUGGAUGGUCUGCUCCCCUUAAAUUCAUUAGUGGGAUCUCUUGUGGACCGUCACUUGGUGUGAUAAUUAUCUAUGCCGUUUGACCUUGAAGCAAAUUUAUGGGACCCUGCUUAUAACCGUCUCUUACCGGGACAAUUUAAUAACAUCUUGACCUCAAAUCAGGUAGGACUACCCGCUGAACUUAAGCAUAUCAAUAAGCGGAGGAAAAGAAACUAACAAGGAUUCCCCUAGUAACUGCGAGUGAAGCGGGAAAAGCUCAAAUUUAAAAUCUGGCGGUCCUUGUGGCCGUCCGAGUUGUAAUUUAGAGAA
rnacentral:misc_RNA from 1 species